AGAAAAUGUAAGACAAAUUAAAAGUAAUGAAACAUGACUAAUUUUUAAUUAAUAUGCACCCUGGUACAUGUGAAUAAAGGCCAAAGAUUCUUCGCAAGACAAGAGAAAAUCAAGAGAAAAAACCCUAGUUGCCAACCCUUGCGUUUGGUGUUGUGUUCAGGCAAUACUUCUUGAUCUAUUUUUUUUUUUCCCAUCUUUGUUUCUAGCUGCAGUCGUUCUCUCGCGUUGUUGAGGAGAGUCCUCAGUUCGUGGUUGUGGUCGCUCUCUUGCUUUGUCGAGAGAGAUUUUGUGGUUGUGCAUGGCCAUGGUUUGUUCAAUAUCGGAUUUUAGACCGGCGAUUGUUGUUCAAAUCUGAAGUGGUGGUGUUUAUGAUUUGUGCACCCAACAAAUUACUACAAGAAGGAAACUCGAAGUUUGCUGGAAGGGCUUAUAGCUAGGUUUCUUUGCCAAACGAUUGCAAAAUCAUCAGAGGUUGGUGUGGUCUUUUCCUUGUGGAGCCUCUAUGAUAGUUCUCAGGUUUGUAAUGUUUUAGUCCUCGUGACUAGAUUUUAGGGUUUAGGACUAGGGGUUCUCCAUGAUUGAAGAAUCGUAUUGUAUUUUUGAUGUGUUUGUAAUUGUAGGGUUGUGAUACUUUUGACAUGUGUAGUCUCUUGAAUUGUUCUAAGAUACAUGUUUAACAUGUCUAUAUUGUAUGAAUGGUUGUGACUAUUUUUAAUGGUAUUGAAUUGGUUCUAUGGUAGCCCUCUUGCUGAUUUUUGGUGUCUCUUUCACAUAGGUGGCCAUUGGCUAUGCCUCUGGUGUAGAAAUUUUUGCAGAUCUACACAUUGACAAAAAUUUCUUUUCAGAUAGCUUUUAAUUGUUUUCCUGAUAGGUUUGUACCAGCAGAUUCGGCAACUGUUGGCUUGACUGAUAGAAUAUUUUGCGCAAUGGGAAGCAAGUUUAUGAGUGCCGAAAAGUCGACAUUUAUGAUUGAUUUGCAUCAAGUAGGGAUAAGGUAAGGUAUACUCAAACAGCUUCCCUGUACUAAAUUGUAAUUAUAAUGUGUGAGAUAAAACUGAACUUGCAUCUUUUUAGUAGUAUAGGCAUAACUCUCAGUGCUCCAGUUAUAAGAUUUAUCUCAUUGGCAUGUGUACGAGUAUUUUUAAAAGGCAGAGUACUUCUUAAGAAUAAAAAAUCAUUUGCAUUUCUGAGACUACUAAUUGAUAUGAAUCCUACGGUUUGGAUCACAGGGUUCAUGCUUAAAACAUGUUCUUUAAUCUUAACACAUUUAAUCUACAUUAAUUCUGUGUCAUCUGACCACUAGGCAUGUAUCUAUAUCUUGCUAACUUGUUUUCUUGUGUGAGAUAAUUGCGUCAGUGGGUGGCACUCUAGUUGCUUCAAUUACAGAGCCAGUAGGCGAUUAUAAUUCCCGGGUCUAAACAGUUUAAUUGCGUCUUAGACUCAAAAUAUCAGAUGUAGCUUUGUGAAGUGUACAGUCAGUAUUAGCAACCUCUGAUUCCAAGCUCAUGCAUGUGUUGAUUUCUAUGUUUCACUGCUGUUCAAUGCAAUUUUUCUAUUUAAUGCUUGUGAUUUCACUUUUCAUUUCUUGCAGGCUAGUUCCUGGGCAUGCACUUCUUAGCUAUGGUUAGUAGAUACAUAUAUUAUAUAGAUAUAGAGAUAGAGCUUGACCAAAUAUAUACAUGUAUAUUGUGUGUACUUGUAUGUACUAUAUAUAUAGAGAGAGAAGAUAAGUAUGCUAAAGUUUUAAUGAAGAACUUGCUUGGUUCAACUACGUAAAAGAUAAAA